rnacentral:misc_RNA from 1 species
CAGAGAACAUCGCCCUCACGGGGGUGACUCUCCAACCCUUAUGUUAUUAAACCUUUGUUGCUUUGGCGAGCCGCCCCGGCCACCGGCUUUCCGCUGGUGAGUGCUCGCCAGAGGACCCCAAACUCUGUUUAUUAGUGUCGUCUGAGUACUAUGUAUAAUAGUUA